rnacentral:tRNA from 1 species
GGGGCUGUAGCUCAGAGGUAGAGUGCUCGCUUCACAUGUGGAAGGCACUCAUUUCAAUCCUCAGCACCA